rnacentral:rRNA from 1 species
AGUGAACGCUGGCGGUAGGCCUAACGCAUGCAAGUCGAACGGCAGCACAGUAAGAGCUUGCUCUUACGGGUGGCGAGUGGCGGACGGGUGAGGAAUACAUCGGAAUCUACUUUUUCGUGGGGGAUAACGUAGGGAAACUUGCGCUAAUACCGCAUACGACCUACGGGUGAAAGCAGGGGAUCUUCGGACCUUGCGCGAUUGAAUGAGCCGAUGUCGGAUUAGCUAGUUGGCGGGGUAAAGGCCCACCAAGGCGACGAUCCGUAGCUGGUCUGAGAGGAUGAUCAGCCACACUGGAACUGAGACACGGUCCAGACUCCUACGGGAGGCAGCAGUGGGGAAUAUUGGACAAUGGGCGCAAGCCUGAUCCAGCCAUACCGCGUGGGUGAAGAAGGCCUUCGGGUUGUAAAGCCCUUUUGUUGGGAAAGAAAAGCAGCAGGUUAAUACCCCGCUGUUCUGACGGUACCCAAAGAAUAAGCACCGGCUAACUUCGUG